rnacentral:lncRNA from 1 species
CAACCAAUUGAUAUGGGUAAAAAUGAACACAUUUUCAAACAUGCAAGAUCUCAAAUAUUUUGCCUCCCUUAUACCCCUUUUCCAGGAAGCUAAUGAAAGAAGUUCUCCACCAUUGCAGGUAGUAAUCUAGAAAUAUGAAGAAAAAUAUUUCAGACAAUAGACAAGUCAACACAGCAGAGAAGCAAGGAAAUAUUCAGGAUGGUGAAGAAGGGAAAUUCCAGGAUGACAAUACAGCCCCCAGAGCUGAAGGAAAUCCAUCCAAAUUAGAAACUUAUGACUCAAAAGACAGACACGUUGAGGGCAUGUUAUCAUCAUGAUACCUGCUCUAAUACCAUAUUUUUAAUAUGACAGAAUUUACUCUUUUAAAACAAAGGAGCAUGUCAGUACAGAGGGAGUCAUGAGACACAGGGAGUACAGAAUCCAAAUCAGGAGAAAGGCAAAGGGUGUUCCAAGGACCUUUGUCCAAGGAUGGACAAAGAGAAGUCCCAACAUGACAGUCAUGAAACAGACCUAGAGAUAUCUCAAAAUAAAACAAAACAGAAACGAGGCAUUGAAAAAAUUACUGAUGUGACUAAUCUUGUGAAAAUUGAUCUGACAAGUUUUUUUGGAAGAUGUUUAAACAGUUAAAAAUAUACACAAAGUAAAUUAACAAAAAUAAGGCAUGCAUGAAGGAAAAACUAAAGUAAGGAAGAAAACAGAACCAUAGCACACCAUAUUUUCAUGGGCAUAAUAGUGCUAACACUGAAUAUUGAUUCAGCCUCAAAAUACACUACUAUGUUAUGAGUUUGGGAGAACAGACACAGAGGGAAUGUCGGCGUUACUGAGUUAAAGCCUAAUCUAUCAAUACAGUAAGUCAACAGAUAAUGUGUAAACUUGUUGACUCAAAAGAGAGUAGUAUGGCAUUAUUUAAUAAAUCUGAAAAUGUGUAAAUACCAGAAGUAAUAUGUGAAUCAGUCAAAAGUGGUUGUUUGGGGGCAGGAGGACUAGAGCAAGUGAAGAGGAGUAGGACAAAGAAGCUCUAUGAGUUUUUCAAAAAGCCUCAGUAUGAUUUAACUUAAAAAUGUAUAUAUUUAUUUUUAGAUUAACCAAUAAUUCAGUUGAAAAUAUGGUACCAAAUUCCCACUUCUUCAAGCAGAUAAACUAUUUAAAACAGACCACUGAUAGGGAUACUCAUGGAGGUCCGGAUUGGUAGGAUCAUCUGGUCCAGCAAUUUUGGCCAAAUUGAUGGCUUACUCUCCAGGUACUUGUACUUGCAGUUGCGCUUGUACCAAGGGGAUAACGAAGGAACCUCUCUGGAGCUGGUUUCCAGCUACCCAGACCUCCCAGUAUUUUGGCUCAGAAUGCCUUUCACUUAACAGAGAAUUAUGACCAGAAUUGGAUUUCAAUAAGUUAACCUUUCAUUUAAUGUAGUUCCUAAUGUUAGAUUGGCACUAAAAAUCUACUUAUGGGCUUUUCCCUUUUCUACUUUCUUCCAGGAACAUUACUGGCACUCUAAACUUAGGGAAAGUCUGUAUAAGCCACCUCUGAAUCUUGGCAGAAAAUAAAGUUGUUAGAGGUCUCCUGAGUAAGACCAAGCUGCGGGAUGUUUCAGGGUUGACCGUCAAGAUCAUCUUUUCCGACCUCCCCAUUUUACAUGUUAUAAGAAACUACAGCCAGAAAGGGCUAAGUGAUUUAUCCAAGGCCACACAGCUCUUAAAGGCACAGAAAAGAGGAGAACGCAAGUUUCCUAACUUCCAGCUCAGGGGUUCGUUCGCUACAUCACAUGACAGCAAACAAACUACACUGUACCACCUUGCACAACACAACACUCCUUUAUUCUACAAUGGGCUCCACUACACUGUAUUACACCUCAUUGCUCUGUACUAUCCAACACGGCACACUACACUGUGAUCUGUCUACAUUACACCGCACCGCUCACCAGUGUACUGCUCUGUCAUCACUGUUUUGCACUAUAAUAUACUACACGACAGUGCUCCACACCAAAGCACACGGCACUGUAUUACUAAGGAAAUGACCUGAAUACACUUUAAUGUCUAAUCGUCUAGUUUUAAUCCACAGGAGCCCACUAAUAUCCCAAACCUGCAAACUCGGGCCAGCUCCAGUUCUUGAGCUGAUACUGACCCUAUCCUUGUCCUACGUUUCCCAUGCCUCCUGCCCUGGGCUUUAGGAUUCAACUGCCUUCCCUGUAGCAGGCUGCCCUGCUUUUCCCUGAUUUCCUUGACUGAGUGGGAUGAUAAUCCAGGGUCACUGCCCCAGGGCUGAUCCCUGGGCUACUCCUUUGCUACAUGCCCACCUGCAUGAUGCCCCAUUUUGAAGACUGAGUUCUACAGAUGGCUUGUUCUGGUCAAGAUCCUGCUACCAUUUAUAGGCCUGGACUUUGGUUUUGGUGCCCUUUCGAACAAACUGACAGAGACCCCAGCUCCCUCUCUGGACUGGGAAGAAGACCAGAGCCUUAUUACCAUCUUGCCCUCUCUGCCACCCUAGGACUGGAGUUAUACACCAGGAAAUUGGGCCAGGCGUAUGCACUUGGCUAAAGUCUUGAUCCUUGAAGCCACAUCUGGAUUUAUUACUUACCAGCUGGUGACCUGAGUAUUAGUUUCCUCACCUAUGAAACGGAGAUAAUAGUGACAUUUCUCACAUAAGUUUGCCAGGGGGAUCAUAUGUAAUUUUGCACAGCAAGCCUUUGCUCAAUAUCUACUAUAUAGUCAGUGCUGAAUAAAUGCUAGAUAUUUUUAUUAUUUCAUUUCACUCUUAAAAAAUAAAAGCCUUAGUAACAUUACUUGCAACUGAGGUUCAGAAAGUUUAAGUAAUUUGUUCAUAACCAUACAGUUAGAAGGCGGGGGUAGGGUAGUGGUGUGAUGAGACCAGGAGUCCACAUUCUAACUCCUUCCAUAUCCUGUCCUUUUAAUAAUCAAGCCCCCGGCCAGUCUGAAUUUCUGAGCAAUGCUCUGCCCACCUGUUGGGUGGCUCCGGCUUGGAUCCCCCAUGGUGCCAGGCGUCUGUCUGAAUCGUGACGGGAACAUGUUGAUCCCUGUUGGACCUGUGCCUAGCCCACCCAGCAGUAACUUCCCCGCCAGCCUCUGCAGCAAGGACAGCUCUCUCAGCUCCUGUUCCAACCUACAGAGCAGGGCUGGUGCCAACUCUGCUCCCUGCCCCAGGCCUGUCUGGCUGCAGGUAGGCUGCUCUGACUCACCGGAGAAUCCUGAGUUCUGACUAAUCCUUUGUCUAAUGUCUUUUGCAGGGUCAACGUGACAGCCACACAUGGAAGGGGAACAGAAAAGAAAGGAAAGAGGAAAAGGAAGAAAGCUUGCGUUCCCUAUGGGCCCCAUGAAGUCACAGGAAAUGGCUCAGUGUAGACCAGCCACCUUACUGUCCUGAGUAAAAGGUAGGACUGCUCUCUUCCUGAGUGAGUGAAGAGUUAAUCACGACCUAGGCAAGAGUUGAUCACCCAGAAUUCCAAGUUUGAACUUUGGAGAAUCCCCUUUGUUUCAUCUCAGCACACUGACUCCAGCGCCUGUGUCUAUUUUAAUAGUGUGGAAUGCAAUUCCCUUUGCCCAUUACGCUCUUUCACGAUGGGUUUUUCCGACCCUCGGGGUAGAUUUAUGUUUCUAGCUGAAUGAUUACUCAGUGAAUCUUCGCCAAGGGAUGUUCUGUUCCAAGAAUGACACAUCUCUUUGGGGAUGACUCUACCUAACAGGGGUGGGUGGGAGGUCAGGGGAAGCCCCUACCCAGGAGAAAAGCGUUUCUUUGUGUGCUUGAAGAAAAACACUCAGAUGAUGAACAGCCUGAUUUGGGGGCUGUGAGUGGGUGAGCCACUCCAGCGAAGUCGUCCUCAACGCUCCCUCAUAAGGAGAGAUGAUGAAUUUAAUGAGCAGAAGAAUUCUGACAAGCCUUAAAGCCAGAGGCAAUGAGCAAAGGCUGAAUUAUUUGAAUUCCUUGCAGUUAGGAACUUAUUCCAUCCUAAUGAAAUUAUACAGCCAUAUAUCUAUAUUUUAUCUAUAUUCUAUAUCACACAUAAGAAUAUAUUGCUUUAUUUUAUGUGCAUGUAUGGGCAUUUCCUACUGUGUUCAGUGGUGCAGGAGCUGCUACAUGAAAGAAAAGUGCUAUGGUCAAGUCUGACCGGAAAUGCUGCAUGCUGGAGCCCCCCCCCCCCCCCCCCCGCUAAACACAAAGGACACUGGCAAAUUACAUGCGCUGAGAAAGCUGCAGGAAGGAUUCUGUUGCAUUUCAUCGACUCUAAUAUUCCAAAUAUAUUUGAACAUGAACUCCUUUUCUCUACCCUACUAACAGCCCAAGGAAUCAGUGCUCCUUACAGUGCACUUUGAGAAACGGUGAUACUCUGUGAUGUGACAGCUAAGUCAUGGAGCAGGCUGCCACGCUCACCUCUGCGAUGAUGCCAGCGCUUAAAACAUUUCUGCCACUCAUAGUUUACUUCACUCAGGUCGCUUUAAUAUCCUAUGCAAUGCCCUUGAGAGCAUGUGAUAAAACUUUGUUCUUUGAGGUGGUUCGAUUUUUGGAAACUGCCUGCACUCAACCCUGUACCCGCUGAAUGAGCUGACCAGUGACCGGUUAAGCCGGGCCAUUUUAAGUCAACAGCAAAGUAUCUUUGUGUGACUGG